UACAGAGGGGGCAAGCGUUAUUCGGAAUUAUUGGGCGUAAAGGGCGCGUAGGCGGCCAGGCAAGUGGCAGGUGAAAUCCCUCGGCUUAACCGAGGAACUGCCCUCCAAACUGCUUGGCUUGAGACCGGGAGAGGUGAGUGGAAUUCCCAGUGUAGCGGUGAAAUGCGUAGAUAUUGGGAGGAACACCAGUGGCGAAGGCGGCUCACUGGACCGGUACUGACGCUGAUGCGCGAAAGCGUGGGGAGCAAACGGG
rnacentral:rRNA from 1 species